CCCGGGAAGAAAAUAAGAUAAAAUUGAUUUUUUUGCGCGCGCGCCACUCGCAAAAUUAAAUUACGACGCGACUAACGCAUCUAAAAACACGACGACGACGACAAGUAUUUCUCGUGGUCCAGUUUGAAAAUCUCGAUGCAUAGAUAAUAUUUAAAAGCUGAAUAAUACCUAAGCAACAGAGAUUCGUGAUGUGCGAGGGGAGAGGAGAGAGAAUAUACCUAUAGUACGGGUUGAAGUUGAGGCGGGGCCAGGCGAGGCGAGGAAGUGCGCCUCUUCUCGAGGAUGAGGAUGAGAACGAGGCGGCAGAGGCAACGAGGAUGCGGGGGUUAUUCGAGCGCCAGCGUGAAAUCGAGUUAAACUUGGAAUUAGAGUUGCUUCCUUGAUAUUAUAUAAGAAUAUUUGUCUUCGCUGAAUUAAUUUAAUAUAAACUUGGUAAGUCUCUGA